AAAGCAAAUUUUAGUACGAUACCAGCAAGUCCGAUGGUCAGUUCAAAAAGACAGCAAGCAAUGCGAAACUGAUGAAGUACAGACCAGAUUUCAAGUUCACGGAUCCCAAAAUAGCUAUCAAGGAGACCUGUCAGUGGUUCUUGGCAAACUACGAGACUUGCCGAAAAUGAAGCAUUGUAUCGUGAAUGAACAAUGAACCGUUUUUUUCUCUUCAAUAUGAAGUCAGUUUCAAGGAAUAUAGUAUAGUAGUUAGUGCUAGCGUAACGGUGUUUUUUCCAGUGCAUGACAAACAAGAAUGGCACAUGCACAUAACACGAAUUUUGAGAAGAGCUACUUGUUGUCGUGUUUGUGUCAAUCGUUUGUGUUAAUAAAAGAUUGGAAUUAGGGAUGUGUU